UCUUUCAGACCGCGGGUAAACGUGCCCUU
rnacentral:sRNA from 1 species